UACGUAGGGUGCAAGCGUUUAAUCGGAAUUACUGGGCGUAAAGCGUGCGCAGGCGGUUGUGCAAGACCGAUGUGAAAUCCCCGGGCUUAACCUGGGAAUGGCAUUGGUGACUGUACGGCUAGAGUGUGUCAGAGGGGGGUAGAAUUCCACGUGUAGCAGUGAAAUGCGUAGAGAUGUGGAGGAAUACCGAUGGCGAAGGCAGCCCCCUGGGAGUAACACUGACGCCUCAUGCACGAAAGCGUGGGGGAGCAAACAGG
rnacentral:rRNA from 1 species